AGCGAACGUUAGCGGCGGGCUUAACACAUGCAAGUCGAACGAGAAAGGGUCCUUCGGGGCCCAAGUAAAGUGGCGCACGGGUGAGUAACACGUGGGUAAUCUGCCCUUCGGCGGGGGACAACCACUGGAAACGGUGGCUAAUACCGCAUACAACCGGAGCCUUCUCGGAGGCUACGGAAAAAGGCUUCGGCCACCGAAGGAGGAGCCCGCGGCCCAUCAGCUUGUUGGUGAGGUAAUGGCUCACCAAGGCUAAGACGGGUAGCUGGUCUGAGAGGAUGAUCAGCCACACUGGGACUGAGACACGGCCCAGACUCCUACGGGAGGCUG
rnacentral:rRNA from 1 species